rnacentral:rRNA from 1 species
UACGAAGGGGGCUAGCGUUGCUCGGAUUGACUGGGCGUAAAGGGCUCGUAGGCGGCCAACUAAGUCGGACGUGAAAUCCCUCGGCUCAACCGGGGAACUGCGUCCGAUACUGGAUGGCUUGAGUUUGGGAGAGGGAUGCGGAAUUCCAGGUGUAGCGGUGAAAUGCGUAGAUAUCUGGAGGAACACCGGUGGCGAAGGCGGCAUCCUGGACCGACACUGACGCUGAGGCGCGACAGCGUGGGGAGCAAACAGG